GGUAAGGCAACGGGUUUUGAUCCCGGUAUUCGGAGGUUCGAAUCCUUCCGUCCCAG
rnacentral:tRNA from 1 species